CACUCAAAGAACACUGGUUGGGUGCCCAUUUUCCAGAGCCUGGCUUAUAACUGGAGGUACAAAAGUAUGUAAAGCACUGCUUUAUUCCUGCUUUCAGGAAACUCAGAGGGAGACCGGGGGUGGAGUGGGAGUAGGGGGACAACUGCCUCAAGGGCUGACUGACUCGCUUGGAAAGAGAUACCGUAGGCUGGGAGGAAGGAAGGAUAAUCCAGGAGGACUUCGAGAGGAACAGACAUCUGCAGAAACUCUCAAAGGAUGAAAAAGAAUUAGCCAGGUUGUAUGGGUGGCAUAGAAGUCACUGUCCUUCAACGGGAAGGACACCAUUCUGGGAACUUUGAGUAACUUAUUGCUGUGUCGGAGGCAGGAGAUGACAGAAGAGCUUGUGAAUCACAUCUGAAAGCCUCUGCUCCCAGAGGCAACGCGAAGAAGCAAAGUGGCAAACUUGGCUUGGCCUUGCAGAUAUAUGCCAGUCAGCGAUGCAGGGGCCAAAGAUGAGCCAGGCUGGAGUCAGUCUAAAAUGGUUCUUUUAGCUCUGCAGGGCAAAAACCACAGGGCUUGUCUCCUGAGAGAGAGGAUGAGGGUUAAGAGAGGAAGAGAAAAUGUGACAAAGGCACUGAGGAAAUACAAAAUGGUAUUUGACAAUCAACACGAAUGAGAAGCCAUAGAACUGUAAAGGCAUUAUUCACAUGGUUAUGUUUUUUCCCAGCAGUAUUCCACCAUGCAGGUUUAGAAACCUUUAGAAAUUGUUCGUCGGAGGUUGUAUUCAGCUGCUAGCAUCAGAAGUUAACAGUGUGGUAAACAACACAGAGGGCUUUUCCUUCCUCACCGAAAAGGAUCCGGACAGAGUUCUCAGUGGCUCAGCAGGUUAAGGACCCAGCAUUGGCACUGCAGUGGCCUGGGUUCCUUCUCUGGCUCAGGAACAUCCACAUGUUGUGGGUAUGGCCCAAAAAACUUAAAAAUAAAAGGACUGGAGCCAGACAGCAGAGGCCACUUAAGCACGCAGGCUCCUACCUUUCUGCUCACUGGGCCAGAUACCGGCUUCUACCCUGAAGGUUGCCCCACGGCUCAAAAAAGCUGCUGGGACUCCCGCUGUUAUUUGAGAAUCUAAGUGGGGAAAUGGAAGAAGGAGGCAUGGUCAAAAAGACUAUGCCCCAGCUGUCUGUCCUGUUCAACAGCCUCUCUCCAAUCCUACCCACAACUUCACCUUACUUCUUACUGGCUAGAUUCAGUCAUAGGUCCCACAUCGCCCUACAGAGGGGCACUCUGACAUUCCCAGUCAAGUCAAGGUUCCGCAACUGGAAAAGAAGUGAAUGGGUAUUGGGUAAGCAAAGCGCAUUCCCAUCCAGGACUGGAGAUGCGUCAAGUAAGUGUGACAGAAGGACAGGGGAACACAGAAGGUCAAGGAGCCAGUGAGAGGGCCCAGAUGGAGAGUAGAGGGCUCAGCAGGGAGUGUGGAUCAUCUGAAAGAAAGUAGAUCCUCAAGGGACAAGAGUUCAGUGAGGUCAAAGCACAGCUACAGAGGGAUGGUGACAAAAAUCAGCUGGAAGGAAAGACAGUGGAGCCUAAAAAUGAUGCUAGUAUUUACUAAGUCAGAGUUCUCAGGCUCGGUGAUUUUUUUUUUUUUAAGCCUAAUUGUGGAGUGGAGGUCUCUGGAGUUGGCAGGGUGGGGAGACAGGAGAGUCCAGUGUGUUCAGAGGGUCAUGCCCAUGAAUGAUGCGAUCUCCCAGGGUGGUGCUGACUGGUGGAGAAGAGGUGUGUGAACCAGGGGCCAAACCUUUGGGAAAUGCUGCGGAGACUUGAGAAGGAUGUAGAGGGAGAGGGCUGCGGGGAGACAGCACAGGUUUCAAAGGGUACAGAGGAAUGGGCUGCAGGGCCAACACGGAUUCCAGCCAAGAGGAUCACAAAAUGGAUAAGCACAACAGCCGCCACUCAGAAGGGCAGCCAAAGAAGCUGGCUUAUGAGGACAGGAGGGAGCAGUGGUGCCUGUGACAAGGGGGCAGGGGCAGGUCUCAGCAGAGGAAGGACCAGGUUGGGGGAUGCCCUGGACUCCAAGGAAGGGAGAGGAAGCAACGGGAAAGCUCAGGAGAGAGCAGGUGAAGGGGCUCAGGGUGCAGGGAGGGCUGCUCUCCCGAUUGCUGCCGAGGACAAGGCAGGACAGGUAUGGGUGGCCUUAGGGUGCCAGCUGGGUCCGGCUCUGAGUCCCAGGUCCUUCCCAGGGGGGUUUCAGCAGCUCUGGUCCCUCCAAGGAUGGACUCAGAGUGGGACGGGGCAGGGCAGGCAGGGAGGGCACAGGCCUCCGUGGAUGGCACACUGACAGGCUGUCCGUCCCCCUGCAGGUCUGCAGACUAAAGCCAGAACCCCCGCCAGUCAGUCCAGGAGGUCACAGAGCCCCCCACAAGGAGAACCAGCCCCAGGUGGGUGUGAACUCUGUCCUGCCCAGCCUCUAACCCAUCGCCCACCCUCCUGUUCCCAUGCAGAGGAACAUUCCAGAACACGCAGGGGAAAUACGAGAGCACUGGGAACAAAGUGCAACAGACAAACCCCAAGCUGGACCAAAAUAAUGAUGGCAUCCUCUAUGCCUCCCUCACCCUCCACAACGUGCCCUCACCAGCCGCACCUCCAUGCCCUCCCGCCCACGGGGGCCCCCAGGAAGAGACCCUGUACUCUGCCCUGAAGACCUAAGGACUGGGACGAGUGAUGACCUCCUUAGGGUCAGCCAUGCACGGGGAUCUCACUUCCCCAUAAUCAGAGCCAAACAGAGACCACUCAGAAGCCAGCAGGUGCCGAAGGCCACCGAGGACCUGAGCACCUACCUGCUCCAAUUCCUCUUCGACUUCCCAGCCCUUGACCACACAAAUAAAAGUACCUGUAUGA
rnacentral:lncRNA from 1 species